rnacentral:rRNA from 1 species
UACGUAGGGAGCAAGCGUUGUCCGGAAUCAUUGGGCGUAAAGCGCGCGUAGGUGGCCUCAUAAGUCCGCUGUGAAAGUCAAAGGCUCAACCUUUGAAAGCCGGUGGAUACUGGAUGGCUAGAGUACGGAAGAGGCGAGUGGAAUUCCUGGUGUAGCGGUAGAAUGCGCAGAUAUCAGGAGGAACACCAAUAGCGAAGGCAGCUCGCUGGGACGUUACUGACACUGAGGCGCGAAAGCGUGGGGAGCGAACAGG